rnacentral:rRNA from 1 species
GGCCCUACGGGGUGCAGCAGGCGCGAAAACUUUACAAUGCUGGGAACAGCGAUAAGGGAACCUCGAGUGCCAGGUUACAAAUCUGGCUGUCGUGAUGCCUAAAAAGCAUUAUAUAGCAAGGGCCGGGCAAAACCGGUGCCAGCCGCCGCGGUAACACCGGCGGCUCGAGUGGUAACCGUUAUUAUUGGGUCUAAAGGGUCUGUAGCCGGCCGGAUAAGUCUCUUGGGAAAUCUGGCAGCUCAACUGUCAGGCUUUCAGGGGAUACUGUCUGGCUCGAGGCCGGGAGAGGUGAGAGGUACUUCAGGGGUAGGGGUGAAAUCUUGUAAUCCUUGAAGGACCACCAGUGGCGAAGGCGUCUCACCAGAACGGACCUGACGGCAAGGGACGAAAGCUAGGGGCACGAACCGGAUUAGAUACCCGGGUAGUCCUAGCCGUAAACGAUACUCGCUAGGUGUCGGCCACGGUGCGACCGUUGUCGGUGCCGUAGGGAAGCCGUGAAGCGAGCCACCUGGGAAGUACGGCCGCAAGGCUGAAACUUAAAGGAAUUGGCGGGGGAGCACCACAACGGGUGGAGCUUGCGGUUUAAUUGGAUUCAACGCCGGAAAUCUUA